UACGUAGGGAGCAAGCGUUAUCCGGAAUUAUUGGGUGUAAAGGGUGCGUAGACGGGAGUCUAAGUUAGUUGUGAAAUCCCUCGGCUCAACUGGGGAACUGCAACUAAAACUGGACAUCUUGAGUGCAGGAGAGGAAAGUGGAAUUCCUAGUGUAGCGGUGAAAUGCGUAGAUAUUAGGAGGAACACCAGUGGCGAAGGCGACUUUCUGGACUGUAACUGACGUUGAGGCACGAAAGUGUGGGGAGCAAACAGG
rnacentral:rRNA from 1 species